CCCGUUCGUGAUCUAUCGGCAUCCAAACAUCCCCUCUUCCACGUGUCUUCAGCUCUUCCCAGAUUUCCCUCGCGGCCGUGUUCAUGUUCAACGUCCUCUCCUCCCAUGUCCAAAGAACAGAAGCUUCCAUCCGCAAAGGCAUCCGUUCCCAGCAUCCCAGCCGAGAUACUCUCAACUUCACGACUCCAUUCCGUGUUCAUCUUCCACGUCACCUCCUCCCAGAUUUCGUCCGCAUCACCCAAAGAUCUCUUCCUAUCCCGUGAGCAUCCCAAACAACUAAGUCCAAAGAUUUCCUCCCAGUUGCUUCAUCCUCCCGAACUCCACCAUCCACGGAUUCCUCCACGUCCAGCCAACGGCUGCAUCCCAACCCGGAUGAGCUCGGAUCAGCUUUAUCUCCAGCCAUGCUUAUCUCCCACGGAUCCAAGCUCUUCUUCCGCAUGCCAUUCAGACUAGGAAUAGAGCCGUGUCCACGGAGUGCUUCCUAGCUCUCAUCUUGUUCCGAGUUCAUCCCGUGUUUCACAAACAGAACCAAGCCAUCCUUUUCUUCCGGCUUAAUCUCCCAACGUCCCAGCCAUUGUUAACGUCCAAGUUCAUCUUCCCUCUCAUGCCCGUGUUUAUCUUCUCAUCCUCUUCCCUUGUUUCGGAACCACCUCUUUCCAGCUGAAUCAAAUUCAAAACUUCAAAUCUUUGCAUCCGCCACGGAAGAACAGAGAUCCCAACUGCAUCAUCCACGGCCGGAUGAAGUCAUCCAAGCUUGUCCCUUUGAUCCAACCAUUCCCUCCUUUCACGGACAUCUCCCAAGUCAUUCCCAGCCUUCCCGCUCCACCCCCUGUUUCGAGUUGUUCCGAAAGAGAUGGAGCAGCAAUCUUCUAUGCGCGAUCGAGCUUAUUUCCCCAGCCGAAUCCAGCACCUCCCAACGGCAUCAGCUCCUCUUCCGGAUAACUUCACUUCCCAGAAUCCCGUUCGGAUUGGUUCCAAGCUUCACGGAAUGGAGUAUCCAACCAGAUUCUUCCCAGCAGAGCAAGGUUCAUCCGCAUUCCAGCUACUCACCCGUGUGCAUUCCAAGCUUCUUCUGGGUCAGCUCUCCUUCCGAAUUGCACGUCAUCCAAGUGUGGAUAAGCUCCCCAGCAUCUGUGGAACAGUAUCCCAUCCACCGUUCGCAAAGUCUCCUCUGUUUUGCAUAUCUUCCAGCCGUCUGUGAGGAUUCUUGCCGCGUUUC
rnacentral:lncRNA from 1 species